CUGGGUUUUGUAAGGCCUCGUGCCUAUCACCCGCCCUCUGUCAUGUAUAAUUGCAGUGCUUCGGCCGCUGGCGCCUCGUGGUGUCACGGUCGGUCUCCCAAUUCUUGAAUGCAUUUGUGUUGUCUGACGAAAUUGAUAAAACGAAAAUA
rnacentral:misc_RNA from 1 species